rnacentral:rRNA from 1 species
UAGUCCACGCCGUAAACGAUGAUAACUGGUUGUGCGCGAUACACAGUGCGCGACUGAGGGAAACCAUUAAGUUAUCCACCUGGGGAGUACGUUCGCAAGAAUGAAACUCAAAGGAAUUGACGGGGGCCCGCACAAGCGGUGGAGCAUGUGGUUUAAUUCGAUGAUACGCGAGGAACCUUACCAGGGCUUAAAUGUAAGUUGCAUUAGUUAGAGAUAGCUAUUUCUUCGGACUACUUACAAGGUGCUGCAUGGUUGUCGUCAGCUCGUGCCGUGAGGUGUCAGGUUAAGUCCUAUAACGAGCGCAACCCCUAUCGUUAGUUGCUAACAGGUUAAGCUGAGGACUCUAGCGAGACUGCCGGUGCAAACCGAGAGGAAGGUGGGGAUGACGUCAAAUCAUCACGGGCCCUUACGUCCUGGGGCUACACACGUGCUACAAUGGGUCGGUACAGAGGGGCAGGCCACUACGCGAGUAGGGAGCGAAUCCUU